UACGGAGGGUGCGACGUUGUCCGGAAUCAUUGGGCGUAAAGAGCGUGUAGGCGGCCCGGUAAGUCCGCUGUAAAAGUCAAAGGCUCAACCUUUGAAUGUCAGUGGAUACUGCCGGGCUAGAGUCCGCAAGAGGCGAGUGGAACUCCUGGUGUAGCGGUGGAAUGCGCAGAUAUCAGGAAGAACACUAACGGCGAAGGCAGCUCGCUGGGACGGUACUGACGCUGAGACGCGAAAGCGUGGGGAGCGAACAGG
rnacentral:rRNA from 1 species